rnacentral:lncRNA from 1 species
CGUACUGUUCUCAACAUAGACAUCAGCAGAAUAUGCAUGAGAAGCAAUAUUAGAGUGAGAUACAAGAGGAGAAUCAUAGUCAUAGGCACAGGCAGAAGAAGCAGUACUCACAAAAUCAAAAUAGGUAGACAUGUAGAAAGAAGGGGGAAAAGAAGAAUGCAAUGAAAAUAUGCAACUAAAGCUAUCUAAAUGCAACACACAUGAUAACACACAUACAAAAAUGAGCACACAAAAUAGAACAUCACACUCACAACAUGAGACAAAACAGAACACACACUACACAACAUAGACCUAAAACCGAACCGUUGGUCCCUGGCAACGGUGCCAAAAUUUGAUGGGCUGUCGCAACCCACACAAAUUUGAUGUGCAAUUAAAAUGCAGUAUAGUACUAGGAAGUGACUCCUAGGUCGUCUCUCAAGGACCAAAUGUGGUUCGAGAAUUAGGUCAGACACGAAGUGGGGGGUUGAAAGUGUUGUGAUUGCAGAUGAAUUAAAUUAAAACACGGAUGCAACAGAAAUACAAACACAUAAGCUAAAGAAAUUAAAAGACAAUUCAUAAUGACAACAAUAAGUUAAAAAUGCUUGAAAAGUGAAAAUAAAAUUAAAUGAGUAAAGCUAAAACAAAGCAAGCAAAGCUAAAAGAAAAAUGGAAUGCAACUUGGAAUAAAAUAAGCUAUGCUUAGCAAAUAAUAAAAAUGCAUAUUUAAAUUAAUAACAUAAAUUAAUAACUAAAAAAAAAAGUA